CCUACGGGAGGCAGCAGUGAGGAAUAUUGGUCAAUGGCCGUAAGGCUGAACCAGCCAAGUAGCGUGAGGGAUGACGGUCCUAUGGGUUGUAAACCUCUUUUAUGCGGGGACAAAGGUGUCCACGUGUGGAGUUUUGCAGGUACCGCAUGAAUAAGCAUCGGCUAAUUCCGUGCCAGCAGCCGCGGUAAUACGGAGGGUGCGGGCGUUAUCCGGAUUUAUUGGGUUUAAAGGGUGCGCAGGCGGGAGUUCAAGUCGGCGGGAAAAUUUGUGGGCUCAACCCGGGCGUGCGGGGGAAACUGGGGUUCUUGAGUGCGCGGGAAGCAUGCGGAAGGCGUGGUGUAGCGGUGAAAUGCUUAGAUAUCACGAAGAACCCCGAUUGCGAAGGCAGCAUACCGGAGCUUUACUGACGCUGAAGCUCGAAAGCGCGGGUAUCGAACAGGAUUAGAUACCCCGGUAGUC
rnacentral:rRNA from 1 species